rnacentral:misc_RNA from 1 species
ACAAUACUAUCAACAAUCUUCUGGUUAGUAUCAUUACCCAGUAUGUGAAUAAGAUAGAUUUUAAGUCAGAGAGAUUGGGCUAUGAAAAAGUUUAUAAAUUAGCGUAAAUCCAAAUAGUGAGAUAACGUUUUGGGUAUGCUAGGUCCUUCUAAUCAAUUUUGUUGCAUGCUUAAUACUUUCUCUUGCAAGUAAUUUGCUAUUGCUAGUUGCCACAAAAAUUUACAGUUGAAAUGGGUUUCUUAGCUAGCUGUUUCCCUGAAAUAUACACGAUGGGCUUAGUGUUUAUUAUGGUUUAACUACUCGAUUUGAAUGAAUAAUGAGAAGUACGGAAAGACUUUGUUUCCUUUUGCGUGGAUGUAGUAUUGGCUGUGAUUUCCAGGCCAGUUUUUUUCUUUCUAUAUGUGAUGUCAAAUCUUUUUAAUUAUCAUUAAUUUCUAUUUGUAGUUUGAAAAUUACUUUUAAGAGUGAUAGGUAGGAAAAACACUGCGUAAUUUGUUGUAUUGAUGCUAUGGUCGUGAAUAAACUUGCACUUAUUUAUGUUAUGCUUGUGAUUUGUUCUGUAUGAAGUAACAAGAGGUGG